rnacentral:rRNA from 1 species
GACGAACGCUGGCGGCGUGCUUAACACAUGCAAGUCGAACGGCAGCACGGGUGCUUGCACCUGGUGGCGAGUGGCGAACGGGUGAGUAAUACAUCGGAACGUACCUUAUCGUGGGGGAUAACGCAGCGAAAGCUGUGCUAAUACCGCAUACGCCCUGAGGGGGAAAGCGGGGGAUCGAAAGACCUCGCGCGAUUAGAGCGGCCGAUGCCUGAUUAGCUUGUUGGUGGGGUAAAAGCCCACCAAGGCGACGAUCAGUAGCUGGUCUGAGAGGACGAUCAGCCACACUGGGACUGAGACACGGCCCAGACUCCUACGGGAGGCAGCAGUGGGGAAUUUUGGACAAUGGGGGCAACCCUGAUCCAGCAAUGCCGCGUGAGUGAAGAAGGCCUUCGGGUUGUAAAGCUCUUUUGUCAGGGAAGAAACACCGGCUCUAACACAGUCCGGGAAUGACGGUACCUGAAGAAUAAGCACCGGCUAACUACGUGCCAGCAGCCGCCGUAA